rnacentral:tRNA from 1 species
UAUAUUUUGGUGUAUGAUGCACAAAAGUUUUUGAUACUUUAAGUAAUAGUUUAAUUCUAUUAAAUAUAA